rnacentral:rRNA from 1 species
ACGAACGCUGGCGGCAUGCCUAACCCAUGCAAGUCGAACGAGACCUUCGGGUCUAGUGGCGCACGGGUGCGUAACGCGUGGGAACCUGCCCUUAGGUUCGGAAUAACUCCCCGAAAGGGGUGCUAAUACCGGAUAAUGUCUUCGGACCAAAGAUUUAUCGCCUUUGGAUGGGCCCGCGUUGGAUUAGCUAGUUGGUAGGGUAAAAGCCUACCAAGGCGACGAUCCAUAGCUGGUCUGAGAGGAUGAUCAGCCACACUGGGACUGAGACACGGCCCAGACUCCUACGGGAGGCAGCAGUGGGGAAUAUUGGACAAUGGGCGAAAGCCUGAUCCAGCAAUGCCGCGUGAGUGAUGAAGGCCUUAGGGUUGUAAAGCUCUUUCACCCGGGAUGAUAAUGACAGUACCGGGAGAAUAAGCUCCGGCUAACUCCGUG